UGAGGAAUAUUGGUCAAUGGGCGGGAGCCUGAACCAGCCAAGUCGCGUGAGGGAAGACGGUCCUAUGGAUUGUAAACCUCUUUAGGCGGGGAGCAAUGCCGGGCACGCGUGCCCGGAGGGAGAGUACCCGCAGAAUAAGCAUCGGCUAACUCCGUGCCAGCAGCCGCGGUAAUACGGAGGAUGCGAGCGUUAUCCGGAUUUAUUGGGUUUAAAGGGUGCGUAGGCGGAUUUUUAAGUCAGCGGUAAAAUGUCCGGGCUCAACCCGGGCCGGCCGUUGAAACUGGGGAUCUUGAGUGGGCGAGAAGUAUGCGGAAUGCGUGGUGUAGCGGUGAAAUGCAUAGAUAUCACGCAGAACUCCGAUUGCGAAGGCAGCAUACCGGCGCCCGACUGACGCUGAGGCACGAAAGCGUGGGGAUCGAACAGG
rnacentral:rRNA from 1 species